UUUGAACAUGUCAAUAUAUUUCCUGGUUUCAAAAAAUGGGAAUAAACUAAGAAUAGGUGGGAAUGGCACAAAACUAUUUCAGGAAUGAGAACGUGGAUCAGUACAGGGGGUAGGGGUGGAGAGGGCAUCAUAACUGUGCAAUAGCCACAUUCCAGGAUUUUGUACAGCUUGUUUAUUUUCUUCUUUGACUCAGCAUCUGUACAUACACGUUGAGAAGUCAUAACACACUUGAUAUUAGAACUUGAGCCUAAAGUCUCAGCAUCAAUUUUUUAUAGCUCAAAGAGGAAUCUAGACAAUUCCUAUGUAUUUUCUAACUUAUUCUCUAGGUGUUCCAUCCUUACCCUUUGCAAUAUGAUUAUAAUAAACUAUCACAUGAUGAGGCAGGCCAACAAAUAUCUACCAAAGGAUUUUUGUGCCCAGAACAUCUACCAUCUGCCACAUUGUUAAUGAAAAGAACUGAGGAACUGAUAUGUUUAGAGAUGUUCAGAAAAAGCAAGCACCUCACUCCCAAGAAAAUGUUUUUCCAAAUUUAAAGUUGGUGCAAAAGCUUUAAGUAGCACGUUUGAGCUAAAGAGCC
rnacentral:lncRNA from 1 species